UACGGAGGGUGCGAGCGUUGUCCGGAAUCAUUGGGCGUAAAGGGCGCGUAGGUGGCGGGACAAGCGUGCGGUGAAAGCUCGGGGCUCAACCCCGAGUCGGCCGUGCGAACUGUUUUGCUGGAGCACUGUAGAGGCAGGCGGAAUUCCGGGUGUAGCGGUGGAAUGCGUAGAGAUCCGGAAGAGCACCGGUGGCGAAGGCGGCCAACUGGACCACUACUGACGCUGAGACACGAAAGCGUGGGGAGCAAACAGG
rnacentral:rRNA from 1 species